rnacentral:rRNA from 1 species
GUAGGUGGCAAGCGUUGUCCGGAAUUAUUGGGCGUAAAGCGCGCGCAGGGCGGUCCUUUAAGUCUGAUGUGAAAGCCCACGGCUCAACCGUGGAGGGUCAUUGGAAACUGGGGGACUUGAGUACAGAAGAGGAAAGCGGAAUUCCAAGUGUAGCGGUGAAAUGCGUAGAGAUUUGGAGGAACACCAGUGGCGAAGGCGGCUUUCUGGUCUGUAACUGACGCUGAGGCGCGAAAGCGUGGGGAGCAAACAGGAUUAGAUACCCUGGUAGUCCACGCCGUAAACGAUGAGUGCUAAGUGUUAGGGGGUUUCCGCCCCUUAGUGCUGCAGCUAACGCAUUAAGCACUCCGCCUGGGGAGUACGGCCGCUAGGCUG